CCUCCCCCCAUGAAUCACAAAUGUCCUUAAUGGCAUUUAAGGAUUGCUAUUAAGGACAUUUGUAAUUCACGGGAGGAGG
rnacentral:pre_miRNA from 10 species